GACAGAGGGUGCAAACGUUGUUCGGAAUUACUGGGCGUAAAGCGCGUGUAGGCUGCUUCGCAAGUCGGGUGUGAAAGCCCCGGGCUCAACCUGGGAAUGGCAUUGGAAACUGGCUUGCUGGAGUGUGGCAGAGGGGGGUGGAAUUCCGCGUGUAGCAGUGAAAUGCGUAGAGAUGCGGAGGAACACCGAUGGCGAAGGCAGCCCCCUGGGCCAACACUGACGCUCAGGCACGAAAGCGUGGGGAGCAAACAGG
rnacentral:rRNA from 1 species